AUGUCUGCUUUUGUAUCUCUGUGGUGGACUUUCGGCAGCGGCACCAAACUGGAAGUUGGCAGCGUCACUCGUCCUAAAGUGAGUGUCCUGCCGCCCUCCAGUGCAGAGAUCUCCUCAAAGAAGACAGCGACACUGGUGUGUGUGGCCAGCGAGGGCUUCCCGUCAGACUGGAGCCUGAGCUGGAAGGUGGACGGGAGCAGCAGGUCUCAGGAGAGCAGCGCUGGGCUCCUGGAGAAGGACGGUCUGUACAGCUGGAGCAGCAGCCUGACUCUCUCUGAGCAGGAGUGGAUGGAGAGCGUCUCAGUGAGCUGUGAGGCCACACGGAGCGGCCAGCCUGCGCUCACUGGACACGUGACGAGACAGCAGUGUUCAGAGUAGAUCUGCUGCUCUUCUCACUCAUGUCUCACAUGGAGACUAACAGCACAUGAGCGACUCCUUCAUUCUCCACAUGCAGCUUCAGUCGCUCGCAUCUGCAUCUGCUCUGCUUUGUGUGCUUCAUACAAGACUAUAUGUGUGCUUUAUCAUUCAGUUAUGAUUUCAUUACAGUUCAGUCAAUAAAUAAAAUUAAUAAAUAAAGUUAAUUUGAGUC